UGGUGCGGCGUGUUCUAAACUAACCAGUUAUUUCCCAAGUGACGAAUUAUUAUGGAUCCACCCCUUAACAGGGCCACAUAUUUUCUCUAUACUUUGGCCCCUCAAAAUGAUUGAGUCGUCCAUGGUUGAAUAUUAGAAUUGGCUUUGAUAAUUUCAUUGCUGAUAUACGUUCAUUGAUUUUUACUCACUUGAACUAAGAAUAUUAAUUGUCUUUAUGCAGCUUAUAGUUCCAGAAAUAGUAGCUCUUAUCUCUGAUUUUUUUUCUUUUUGGACGUAGGGCGACCUUCGUGAUCAGGCGCACGUGAGGUAGCGCUCACGAGCCAAGCACUUUUUUAUUGUCCAGGGGCAAAGUGGCCUGAAGCGGCCUGAAUUGCCCUGAGCAGGCCAAAAGUGGACUGAAUCCUCUAAAAUUGAACUAGACCAGUGGAGGAAUAAAUUCCCAUAUGUUUGCCAGUUUGUGUUUGGUGAAGAUCUUUUCUUCAAUUAUUUCUUCCUUCGGUCAUCUUUAAUGCUGAACUGUUGAUGAAGUUGUUCAAACUUAUCAUGGGAAGACAAAAAGAACCCUGGUGAAUCACGAUAGGUGCGAUUUGGCUUUUUGUUUAUAAUUAUAACAAAGGAAAGUGGACAGUUUCUCCUUCUGUUAUGGAAACAACUACUAGUAUUGCUACAUGAUGAAGAUGGUCUUGUGGGAUCCAUUUUGGGGGCUGUUGAAGUAUCGAAAGAAGAUGGUUUGGAACUUAACACACCCCUUCGAGGACCAAUCACUCCUGUUACCGUUGAGCAUUUUGUGGAUUAGCACUCCACGAAGCUCUUUUAGUUGAUGUUGACAUACAGUUCAUGUUUAAAGUCACUCUGCUGGUUAUCUUCGGUUGCGGAAUUGAUGAAGUUUUAUUAUCUUUUGUUCUUGCACCAAGCUUCAAAAAAAUACAAAAACAAAAACAGAUCAAAAAUUGGAAAAUUGUCAGUAAUUACUACAAUCUAGAGGUGGGAAUAUUGACUGGUUCGCGGGUCAAAACGAAUCAUUUUGUAAAGAUUGUUGAUGAAGUUGUGCAAACUUAUCAUGGGAAGACAAAAAGAACCCUGGUGAAUCACGGUGAUAUUGUUGCUCAUAUUAAAUCAGGAGAUGAUGAUCUUGGUAAUCACACAAUCCCAUUCAAAGGGAACUAUAAUUGGUCGUUCUGUUCCAGGGGUGAUCAUCGCACUCUUUUCUAUGGUUACUUUUGGUGGGGUUCAAAAUUUCAAUCUUUGGAUUUGUUUAACAAGGAGCUUGAAAACCAUUGUUCUCUAAACAAAGCCGGUAGACAACAUUGCUAUUGGUGGGUACGCCCUGACGGAUUUUUUGUAUCCCCAUUAAAUAAUACCUUUUCUGAUUUUUACUGGAAGUUUAUAAAACCCUGGGGUUAACUAAUAUUCGAUAGGCUAUUGUAUUAGACAUAACAAAGCUUGAUGGAUUUAUUUAGCUGAUCAAUGAAAUGAUUUUUUUA